rnacentral:rRNA from 1 species
UACGGAGGGUGCGAGCGUUGUCCGGAAUCACUGGGCGUAAAGGGCGCGUAGGCGGCUUCUUAAGCGGGCGGUGAAAGCCCGGGGCUCAACCCCGGGUCGGCCGUGCGAACUGGGGAGCUCGAGCACUGUAGAGGCAGGUGGAAUUCCGGGUGUAGCGGUGGAAUGCGUAGAGAUCCGGAAGAACACCGGUGGCGAAGGCGGAUCUCUGGGCCUUACCUGACGCUCAGGUGCGAAAGCUAGGGGAGCGAACAGG